GACGAACGCUGGCGGCGUGCUUAACACAUGCAAGUCGAACGGAAAGGCCCUGCUUUUGUGGGGUGCUCGAGUGGCGAACGGGUGAGUAACACGUGAGUAACCUGCCCUUGACUUUGGGAUAACUUCAGAAAACUGGGCUUAAUACCGACUAGGAGCUCCUGAUGCUGGGGGGGGUUUGGAAAGUUCCGGCGGUUGGGGAUGGACGCGCGGCUUAUCAGCUUGUUGGUGGGGUGGUGGCUUACCAAGGCUUUGACGGGUAGCCGGCCUGAGAGGGUGACCGGCCACAUUGGGACUGAGAUACGGCCCAGACUCCUACGGGAGGCAGCAGUGGGGAAUAUUGCACAAUGGGCGGAAGCCUGAUGCAGCAACGCCGCGUGCGGGAUGACGGCCUUCGGGUUGUAAACCGCUUUCGCCUGUGACGAAGCGUGAGUGACGGUAAUGGGUAAAGAAGCACCGGCUAACUACGUG
rnacentral:rRNA from 1 species